GUAGGGUGCGAGCGUUGCCCGGAUUUAUUGGGCGUAAAGGGCGCGCAGGCGGCUGCGCACGUUCGCUGUGAAAGCUCCCGGCUCAACUGGGAGAGGUCGGCGGAUACGGCGCAGCUGGAGCUCGGUAGGGGGUCGUGGAAUUCCCGGUGUAGUGGUGGAAUGCGUAGAUAUCGGGAGGAACACCAGUGGCGAAGGCGGCUCUCUAGUACGUGACUGACGCUGAGACGCGAAAGCGUGGGGAGCGAACAGGAUUAGAUACCCUGGUAGUCCACGCUGUAAACGAUGGGUGCUAGGUGUAGGGGGUGUCGACUCCCUCUGUGCCGAAGCUAACGCAUUAAGCACCCCGCCUGGGGAGUACGGCCGCAAGGCUA
rnacentral:rRNA from 1 species